rnacentral:rRNA from 1 species
UACGUAGGUGGCAAGCGUUGUCCGGAAUUAUUGGGCGUAAAGCGCGCGCAGGCGGUCUUUUAAGUCUGAUGUGAAAGCCCACGGCUCAACCGUGGAGGGUCAUUGGAAACUGGGGAACUUGAGUGCAGAAGAGGAAAGUGGAAUUCCAAGUGUAGCGGUGAAAUGCGUAGAGAUUUGGAGGAACACCAGCGGCGAAGGCGACUUUCUGGUCUGUAACUGACACUGAGGCGCGAAAGCGUGGGGAGCAAACAGG